AGAGUUUGAUCAUGGCUCAGGACGAGCGCUGGCGGCGUGCUUAACACAUGCAAGUCAAGGAGAAAAGAGUUUUUCGAAAUUCUUAGUAAACUGGCGAAAGGGUGAGUAUCGCGUAGGCAAUCUGCCCCGCAGUGGGGAAUAACAUCGGGAAACUGGUGCUAAUACCGCAUGAUGUUCAAUUUUCGCAUGUUAAUUGAAUCAAAGGASGUUUCGACUUGUCGAAACACCGCUGUGGGAUGGGCCUGCGUCCUAUUAGCUUGUUGGUAAGGUAAUGGCUUACCAAGGCAACGAUGGGUAGCUGGUCUGAGAGGAUGAUCAGCCACACUGGCACUGAGACACGGGCCAGACUUCUACGGAAGGCAGCAGUGAGGAAUAUUGGGCAAUGGGCGAAAGCCUGACCCAGCAACGCCGCGUGGGUGAUGAAGCUCUGAGGAGUGUAAAACCCUGUUAGGAGGGAAGAAUGACUUGCUUUGCAGGUUUGACGGUACCUCCAGAGAAAGCUCCGGCUAAUUCCGUGCCAGCAGCCGCGGUAACACGGGGGGAGCAAGCGUUGUCCGGAUUUACUGGGCGUAAAGAGCGUGUAGGCGGGGCAGUCAGUCAUUUGUGAAAUCUCUCGGCUUAACCGGGAAUCUGCAAGUGAUACUGCUGUCCUUGAGUUCGGAAGAGGGAAGUGGAAUUCCUGGUGUAGCGGUGAAAUGCGUAGAUAUCAGGAAGAACACCAGUAGCGAAGGCGGCUUCCUGGUCCGAUACUGACGCUGAGACGCGAAAGCGUGGGGAGCAAACAGGAUUAGAUACCCUGGUAGUCCACGCCGUAAACGAUGGGCACUAGGUGUUGGAGGUUUCGACCCCUUCAGUGCCGAAGCUAACGCAUUAAGUGCCCCGCCUGGGGAGUACGGUCGCAAGACUGAAACUCAAAGGAAUUGACGGGGGCCCGCACAAGCGGUGGAGCAUGUGGUUUAAUUCGAUGCAACGCGAAGAACCUUACCUGGGCUUGAACUGCAGUGGACAACCCCGGAAACGGGGCCUUCCUUCGGGACUGCUGUAGAGGUGCUGCAUGGCUGUCGUC
rnacentral:rRNA from 1 species